rnacentral:rRNA from 1 species
GGACUACUAGGGUUUCUAAUCCUGUUUGCUCCCCACGCUUUCGCGCCUCAGCGUCAGUCACGGACCAGGUUGCCGCCUUCGCCACCGGUGUUCUUCCCAAUAUCUACGAAUUUCACCUCUACACUGGGAAUUCCACAACCCUCUUCCGCACUCCAGACCACACGUAUCAAAUGCAGCCCCCAGGUUAAGCCCGGGAAUUUCACAUCUGACUGUGCCAUCCGCCUACGCGCCCUUUACGCCCAGUCAUUCCGAGCAACGCUAGCCCCCUUCGUAUUACCGCGGCGGCUGGCAC